ensembl:snRNA U6 U6 spliceosomal RNA
GUGCUUGCUUCAGCAGCACAUACACUAAGAUUGUAACACUAUAGAGAAGAUUAGCAUGGCCUCUGUGCAAGGAUGACACACAAGUUCGUGAAGUAUUCCAUAUAUUU